CUGGGAAAGCCCAGCGCUGAAUCUUUCGAUGUUACAUCGUAAGAAAUGUAGCGUAUAGGUGUAGUUAUCGGUUUGUUUGGCGUAUCCAAAGUUCCUUUGAUAGGGGCCAUAUUCCAGAGAGGGUGCGAGACCUGUGCGGAUAGCGGAACAUGCCGUAUGAUUAUACCUUGGAGUCGGGUUGCUUGAAAGUGCAGCCUUAAGUGGGUGAUAAACUUCAUCUAAGGCUAAAUACGGACGCGAAUUCGAUAGCAAACAAGUACUGUGAAGGAAAGUUGCAAAGAACUUUGAAGAGAGAGUUCAAGAGAACGUGAAAUCGUUGAAGUGGAACCGGAGAGAGUUGACGUAGUAUGGUGGAUAAGUAUUGCAAGAAUCGCUUCAAAAAAUGUGAACGUGAUCGAGCAGUAUGUAUGUCACCAAUGACUGCGCUGACAGCAUCGACUACACGCUCUGAACCGUGUUGACAUGUUGCCUACUCUAGUAUAUAGAGUGGUGUCUUGUGUUACGUGGUGAAGUUUGUUGUUAUGUUGAUGUUGAUACGAGGAGCAUAAUUAUACGACGAGUAUUAAUUAUGUGUGUCAUGGUAAAAGUCGACCACCUCUCCAACCCGUCU
rnacentral:rRNA from 1 species